GAUGAACGCUGGCGGCGUGCCCAAUACAUGCAAGUCGAGCGAACGGACGAGAAGCUUGCUUCUCUGAUGUUAGCGGCGGACGGGUGAGUAACACGUGGAUAACCUACCUAUAAGACUGGGAUAACUUCGGGAAACCGGAGCUAAUACCGGAUAAUAUUUUGAACCGCAUGGUUCAAAAGUGAAAGACGGUCUUGCUGUCACUUAUAGAUGGAUCCGCGCUGCAUUAGCUAGUUGGUAAGGUAACGGCUUACCAAGACAACGAUGCAUAGCCGACCUGAGAGGGUGAUCGGCCACACUGGAACUGAGACACGGUCCAGACUCCUACGGGAGGCGGCAGUAGGGAAUCUUCCGCAAAGGGCGAAAGCCUGACGGAGCAACGCCGCGUGAGUGAUGAAGGUCUUCGGAUCGUAAAACUCUGUUAUUAGGGAAGAACAUAUGUGUAAGUAACUGUGCACAUCUUGACGGUACCUAAUCAGAAAGCCACGGCUAACUACGUG
rnacentral:rRNA from 1 species